rnacentral:rRNA from 1 species
UACGUAGGGCGCAAGCGUUGUCCGGAAUUAUUGGGCGUAAAGAGCUCGUAGGCGGCUUGUCGCGUCGGUUGUGAAAGCCCGGGGCUUAACCCCGGGUCUGCAGUCGAUACGGGCAGGCUAGAGUUCGGUAGGGGAGAUCGGAAUUCCUGGUGUAGCGGUGAAAUGACGCAGAUAUCAGGAGGAACACCGGUGGCGAAGGCGGAUCUCUGGGCCGAUACUGACGUGAGGAGCGAAAGCGUGGGGAGCGAACAGG